rnacentral:rRNA from 1 species
ACGCUCGACACCUACGGGAGCAGCAGUAGGGAAUCUUCCACAAUGGACGCAAGUCUGAUGGAGCAACGCCGCGUGAGUGAAGAAGGUCUUCGGAUCGUAAAACUCUGUUGUUAGAGAAGAACACGAGUGAGAGUAACUGUUCAUUCGAUGACGGUAUCUAACCAGCAAGUCACGGCUAACUACGUGCCAGCAGCCGCGGUAAUCUGAGCGGGCUGGCAAGGC